GCCACCUUAGCUCAGUUGGUAGAGCACCCGUUUUGUAAACGGGAUCGCGUCAGUUCGACUCUGACAGGUGGCU
rnacentral:tRNA from 1 species